GGGUUGUGAGGUUAAGCGACUAAGCGUACACGGUGGAUGCCCUGGCAGUCAGAGGCGAUGAAGGGCGUGCUAAUCUGCGAUAAGCGCCGGUAAGGUGAUAUGAACCGUUAUAACCGGCGAUACCCGAAUGGGGAAACCCAGUGUGACUCGUCACACUAUCAUUAACUGAAUCCAUAGGUUAAUGAGGCGAACCGGGGGAACUGAAACAUCUAAGUACCCCGAGGAAAAGAAAUCAACCGAGAUUCCCCCAGUAGCGGCGAGCGAACGGGGAGGAGCCCAGAGCCUGAAUCAGCAUGUGUGUUAGUGGAAGCGUCUGGAAAGGCGCGCGAUACAGGGUGACAGCCCCGUACACAAAAGCGCAUGUGCUGUGAGCUCGAUGAGUAGGGCGGGACACGUGGUAUCCUGUCUGAAUAUGGGGGGACCAUCCUCCAAGGCUAAAUACUCCUGACUGACCGAUAGUGAACCAGUACCGUGAGGGAAAGGCGAAAAGAACCCCGGCGAGGGGAGUGAAAAAGAACCUGAAACCGUGUACGUACAAGCAGUGGGAGCCCCACCACCAAAGCAUUCUCUGGUGUUGAAGGCCCUGCAAAGCAGCAUCGCGGUGGCGGAGCGUCGUUUGCGACGCCCAACACACAAAACAAGCGGUGAGUGCUUUGGGGUGGGGUGACUGCGUACCUUUUGUAUAAUGGGUCAGCGACUUAUAUUCUGUAGCAAGGUUAACCGUAUAGGGGAGCCGGAGGGAAACCGAGUCUUAACCGGGCGUUAAGUUGCAGGGUAUAGACCCGAAACCCGGUGAUCUAGCCAUGGGCAGGUUGAAGGUUGGGUAACACUAACUGGAGGACCGAACCGACUAAUGUUGAAAAAUUAGCGGAUGACCUGUGGCUGGGGGUGAAAGGCCAAUCAAACCGGGAGAUAGCUGGUUCUCCCCGAAAGCUAUUUAGGUAGCGCCUCGUGAAUUCAUCUCCGGGGGUAGAGCACUGUUUCGGCUAGGGGGCCAUCCCGGCUUACCAACCCGAUGCAAACUGCGAAUACCGGAGAAUGUUAUCACGGGAGACACACGGCGGGUGCUAACGUCCGUCGUGAAGAGGGAAACAACCCAGACCGCCAGCUAAGGUCCCAAAGUCAUGGUUAAGUGGGAAACGAUGUGGGAAGGCCCAGACAGCCAGGAUGUUGGCUUAGAAGCAGCCAUCAUUUAAAGAAAGCGUAAUAGCUCACUGGUCGAGUCGGCCUGCGCGGAAGAUGUAACGGGGCUAAACCAUGCACCGAAGCUGCGGCAGCGACGCUUAUGCGUUGUUGGGUAGGGGAGCGUUCUGUAAGCCUGUGAAGGUGGCCUGUGAGGGUUGCUGGAGGUAUCAGAAGUGCGAAUGCUGACAUAAGUAACGAUAAAGCGGGUGAAAAGCCCGCUCGCCGGAAGACCAAGGGUUCCUGUCCAACGUUAAUCGGGGCAGGGUGAGUCGACCCCUAAGGCGAGGCCGAAAGGCGUAGUCGAUGGGAAACGGGUUAAUAUUCCCGUACUUGGUGUUACUGCGAAGGGGGGACGGAGAAGGCUAUGUUGGCCGGGCGACGGUUGUCCCGGUUUAAGCGUGUAGGUGUGUGUUCCAGGUAAAUCCGGUUCACUUUAACACUGAGGCGUGAUGACGAGGCACUACGGUGCUGAAGCAACAAAUGCCCUGCUUCCAGGAAAAGCCUCUAAGCAUCAGGUAACAUCAAAUCGUACCCCAAACCGACACAGGUGGUCAGGUAGAGAAUACCAAGGCGCUUGAGAGAACUCGGGUGAAGGAACUAGGCAAAAUGGUGCCGUAACUUCGGGAGAAGGCACGCUGACACGUAGGUGAAGUGAUUUACUCAUGGAGCUGAAGUCAGUCGAAGAUACCAGCUGGCUGCAACUGUUUAUUAAAAACACAGCACUGUGCAAACACGAAAGUGGACGUAUACGGUGUGACGCCUGCCCGGUGCCGGAAGGUUAAUUGAUGGGGUCAGCGCAAGCGAAGCUCCUGAUCGAAGCCCCGGUAAACGGCGGCCGUAACUAUAACGGUCCUAAGGUAGCGAAAUUCCUUGUCGGGUAAGUUCCGACCUGCACGAAUGGCGUAAUGAUGGCCAGGCUGUCUCCACCCGAGACUCAGUGAAAUUGAACUCGCUGUGAAGAUGCAGUGUACCCGCGGCAAGACGGAAAGACCCCGUGAACCUUUACUAUAGCUUGACACUGAACAUUGAGCCUUGAUGUGUAGGAUAGGUGGGAGGCUUUGAAGUGUGGACGCCAGUCUGCAUGGAGCCGACCUUGAAAUACCACCCUUUAAUGUUUGAUGUUCUAACGUGGACCCGUGAUCCGGGUUGCGGACAGUGUCUGGUGGGUAGUUUGACUGGGGCGGUCUCCUCCUAAAGAGUAACGGAGGAGCACGAAGGUUGGCUAAUCCUGGUCGGACAUCAGGAGGUUAGUGCAAUGGCAUAAGCCAGCUUGACUGCGAGCGUGACGGCGCGAGCAGGUGCGAAAGCAGGUCAUAGUGAUCCGGUGGUUCUGAAUGGAAGGGCCAUCGCUCAACGGAUAAAAGGUACUCCGGGGAUAACAGGCUGAUACCGCCCAAGAGUUCAUAUCGACGGCGGUGUUUGGCACCUCGAUGUCGGCUCAUCACAUCCUGGGGCUGAAGUAGGUCCCAAGGGUAUGGCUGUUCGCCAUUUAAAGUGGUACGCGAGCUGGGUUUAGAACGUCGUGAGACAGUUCGGUCCCUAUCUGCCGUGGGCGCUGGAGAACUGAGGGGGGCUGCUCCUAGUACGAGAGGACCGGAGUGGACGCAUCACUGGUGUUCGGGUUGUCAUGCCAAUGGCACUGCCCGGUAGCUAAAUGCGGAAGAGAUAAGUGCUGAAAGCAUCUAAGCACGAAACUUGCCCCGAGAUGAGUUCUCCCUGAGACUUUAGGUCUCCUGAAGGAACGUUGAAGACGACGACGUUGAUAGGCCGGGUGUGUAAGCGCAGCGAUGCGUUGAGCUAACCGGUACUAAUGAACCGUGAGGCUUAACCUUACAACGCCGAAG
rnacentral:rRNA from 1 species